rnacentral:lncRNA from 1 species
AGCAGCGAUGGGUCCCGGCCGCCUCGUUUCGGCAGCCGAGGCGAAGUUGCGCCGCGAUGGGUCGCGCCCUGUCGGAUGUCGGCGCGGUGCCGUCGCGCUCCCCGUGUGGCGGUGCCGGCACGGCGGCAGGAGCUGCCCGGAGCGUCGCACGGCCGGCCCGGCUGCCUGCAGGCCGCCUUCGCGAGCGCGGCGCUGCCUGAGCGUGCACCGACAACCCGCGUCUCGUUAUCUCCUGCCCGUGGUUGUUUUCCGCUUUGAGAACUGCGCUGUGAGGGGAAUACAUAAUCCGUGUUCAGAGAGGAGUUUCAGCGGAAAACAGUUGGCAGAUUGUGAGGCGAUACAGUGA